AAAAUAAAAAAAAAAAAAAAACUUAAAACAAUUAUUUCCGAAAUCUUCGUUAUAUAAUCUUUGCAACAAUAAUAAUGAUGUAAACGGGACUUUGUUUUUAUUUUCAACAGGAAAGAUAACUUCUUUUUUAGUGACAGUAACGAAAACUCUGUCCCCUUCUCCACAAUAAUUAUAAGAUUGUGACUGCCUACAUUAUUUGAAGCGUGAAGAUUUUAUUAUUUCUAGCGUGACGGACACAAACGUUUAAGUGAGAGAGAUUUUCCUACAUUAUUUGAAGCGUGAAGAUUUUAUUAUUUGAAGCGUGAAGACUGAAGUUUUUAUUAUUUGAAGCGUGAAGUUUUUAUUAUUUCAAGUGUGACGGAAAUCAAGCGUCGAUGCGAGAGAGAUCGUCACCUGAAAAAGCCAUGUGCUGUGCGAUUAUAUAUAUAAACAAGAAGCCGACGACAGACAAAGCGCUGUAAGUAGCCUAUUACGUAUCAUUUAUGUACAAUCCUAGGAUGGAGAACAACAUGAUUUGUACUCCGGCAAUGACAUGGCACUCAGAAGAAAGCUGGCUGAAACGAACUUGGAGAAGAACAAUGGAACAAGAAAGAUUCCAGCUGGGUUGGAUUAGCUGGGCAUCAGCAGGGGCAUUAGCCAAAGACAGAGGCAGGUGAAGGCUGUGGUAAUGAGGCCUUGUGUACCUGUAGGCAUGAAGGAUCAUGAGAUGUAUGGAUGUUGUCCUAAGUAAGAACUGUCCUGGCAAUGUUGGAAUGAAAUUUACAGGAGCUACAAAGAGUUUUGGUUUUUAGAAGACUUAGUAUAAAUGUUCUAAAGAAAGAAAAAGUGUGGCAAAGAAAGGAAAGGAUUAUUCACUCAAAGAAAUAUGGAUGACAAGUACCUCCAGUAAAUGAUGUCAUAUCCAGCUUUGAAAAUGUUUUGUUUGAAAGAAAAGGACCUGAAGAAGGAGAAAGAUCUAUUUUAUAGAUUUAGAUGGAUUGAUAAACUGUCAAAGCUAUUGCUAUCACUAAAUUUUGUACAAUACUUGUAAUUCUUUAUCACUGAGUCUUUGAGCCUUCUGACAUGAUAGUGUAUCUAAUCUGAGAAAGCAGUGUCCAUGAUAUCAAUCUUGAAACAUUUCAAAAUAACCUAAUAUCAAAACAUAAUAUGUACAGAUUUAAUAGCAGAUGAAAACUCUACACAAACUGGAUACUGAUGUUACUGAAAUUUAGAGAUGUCAUACUUGGUGUUGAUUGAUUUAAGAAACAAAAUUAAUGUCUGAAAUGAUGUAAUAAACUAAUUACUCCAGUCUUGUUUUUGCUUUAUUUUUAGG